rnacentral:rRNA from 1 species
GAUGAACGCUGGCGGCGUGCCUAAUACAUGCAAGUCGAGCGAACGGACGAGAAGCUUGCUUCUCUGAUGUUAGCGGCGGACGGGUGAGUAACACGUGGAUAACCUACCUAUAAGACUGGGAUAACUUCGGGAAACCGGAGCUAAUACCGGAUAAUAUUUUGAACCGCAUGGUUCAAAAGUGAAGGACGGUCUUGCUGUCACUUAUAGAUGGACCCGCGCUGCAUUAGCUAGUUGGUAAGGUAACGGCUUACCAAGGCAACGAUGCAUAGCCGACCUGAGAGGGUGAUCGGCCACAACGGAAAUGAGAAACGGUCCAGACUCCUAAGGGAGGCAGCAGUAGGGAAUCUUCCGCAAAGGGCGAAAGCCUGAAGGGGCAAAGCCGCGUGAGUGAUGAAGGUCUUCGGAUCGUAAAACUCUGUUAUUAGGGAAGAACAUAUGUGUAAGUAACUGUGCAAAUCUUGAAGGUACCUAAUCAGAAAGCCACGGCUAACUACGUG